GAUGAAGAACGUAGCGAAAUGCGAUAAGUAAUGUGAAUUGCAGAAUUCAGUGAAUCAUCGAAUCUUUGAACGCAUCUUGCGCUCCUUGGUAUUCUGAGGAGCAUGCCUGUUUGAGUGUCAUUAAAUUCUCAACUACACUGACUUUGAAUUGGUGUGGCUUGGAUUUGGGGGGAAAAUUGUUGUGGGCUUUUUGUAUAGUCUGCUCCCCUGAAAUUGAUUAGCGGUACCUUUGUGGAACUGUCUACAGGUGUGAUAAUUAUCUACAUCUUAGACAUCUGCUGGAAUGCUGCUUUCUAAACCUUACUUGUAUUGACAAUCUUGACCUCAAAUCAGGUAGGACUACCCGCUGAACUUAAGCAUGUCAAUAAGCGGAGGA
rnacentral:misc_RNA from 1 species